rnacentral:snoRNA from 1 species
AUCCCAUGUUAAGGACAAGCUAGGAUGUAUUCCUGGAGCCUCUCCCAUGCCUCCAGGGUUGAAUCAUUUGCUGCUUGCUAGAAGCUCGAAAUCUUUCCUCGAAGGGC